rnacentral:rRNA from 1 species
CCGGCGCACGGGUGAGUAACACGUAUCCAACCUGCCGUCUACUCUUGGACAGCCUUCUGAAAGGAAGAUUAAUACAAGAUGGCAUCAUGAGUCCGCAUGUUCACAUGAUUAAAGGUAUUCCGGUAGACGAUGGGGAUGCGUUCCAUUAGAUAGUAGGCGGGGUAACGGCCCACCUAGUUUUCGAUGGAUAGGGGUUCUGAGAGGAAGGUCCCCCACAUUGGAACUGAGACACGGUCCAA